rnacentral:rRNA from 1 species
GGAUCAAGCGACCAAGCGCAUGCGGUGAAUGCCUUGGCGACCACAGGCGAUGAAAGACGUGACAGCCUGCGAAAAGCUCCGGGGAGUUGGCAAAUAAGCAUUGAUCCGGAGAUCUCUGAAUGGGGAAACCCACCCGUAAGGGUAUCCAUU